rnacentral:rRNA from 1 species
UAGGGAAUCUUCCACAAUGGGCGGAAGCCUGAUGGAGCAACGCCGCGUGUGUGAUGAAGGGUUUCGGCUCGUAAAACACUGUUGUAAGAGAAGAAUGACAUUGAGGGUAACUGUUCAAUGUGUGACGGUAUCUUACCAGAAAGGAACGGCUAAAUACGUGCCAG